UUUAGUCCAACAUGGCACCCUUAAAUGCACAUGAUCUUGCCUGAUUUUGGAAGCUAAUCAGGAUUAGGCCUGGUUAAUACUUGGAUGGGAGACCACCAGGGAAUACCAUGCGUUUCUAGGU
rnacentral:rRNA from 1 species